UAGAGAUGGGGUUUCACCGUGGUCUCGAUCUUCUGACCUCGUGAUCCGCCUGCCUCAGCCUCCCAGAGUGCUGGGAUUACAAGCGUGAGCCACUGCGCCCGGCCUCCUCUGGGCAAACAUUAAGAACGGCUCUAAGUAGCUACGAGAAUGAUGGGAAACAAUUACGUGGUUCAUGGAACUAUGAAGGGAGAUCCUGUAAUCUUCAGCAAAGGCUCCUUGGAGCUGGGAAGGAAUGAGAUUUGCACCACUGUAAACCCUACAGUAUUUCCAGCCCAAGAAUAAGGAGGGAGAAGCUGAGCUGAGGGCUACAGACAACACCGUGUACAAACCACAGCAAAUUUAUUACUCAAGAUCCAGUGCCACAUUAUAGCACCACCCGAAGCCCUCACCUUCCCCCUCCCAACCUGGCCCCUAGAGUACACCCAAAACAGAAAAAAAAAAGGAAACCCAGAUCCCUGCUCCUCCUCUGGAAGAGGGGGCCUUGGCCAGGAAGCCC